rnacentral:lncRNA from 1 species
GACCAUCGAUGACCAUCCGGUGUCACGCUACUGCUACCUUGGUCUCGUCCCGAGCGCACAUGUCCUCCUACCUCCCGCCCCUCCUCCCCUCCGCGCGACCCUGACCCACGACAACCCGCAGCGGCGGUGGCAGCAGUUACAGGCGGACCAAUUGAUGUGGUGGAAGGAGUACAAGGAGGACAUCGCGGAGAGGAAGAGGAUAUUCCUUGGUGCGUCCUCUACUCUUCGAGGUGACACUCCGAUGAGUGGUGGUGGCGAUGGCGGUGUGGAGGACUCCACCACCGGCGACAAUGAAGGUGCUUGAUGGACGUGGAAGUGGUCUAGGAGAUGGCGCCGAGGUGCAACUUUUUGAUGAUGGUGCCGAUGAGAGGGGGAAGAUGAUGAUUUUGUGAUGUAAACUAUUAAACCAUGCAUCAAUGAUUUUCAUUUCCGUGUUUGUUUGAAGGUUGAUUGUGUUUUUUAGUGAUAAUUGUGAUAUGUCAAAUGACAGUUGUAAGGGUUGGGGUUGCGGCAAAGACUAGAACUCCCAAACUUAACCCUUAUAGCGGAAUAUUCCGUUAUAAAGAUUGUGUUUGAAGAUUCUAGUCUUUGUUUCUGUUUUUUAACCUUUAAAACUAAUAAAAAUAUCAAUUUUUAACUUUUAAACUGGUUUGAGGAUUUAAGGAUUCGAAGGCUGUGCUAGUGAUGCUCUUACUAUUUCAACGCAAAGCUACGGAAAUAAACUUCAGAUGCACUCGACACUAGCGAGUGUGCCGAUAAGCGCUCCUCCACGUCUCGGCAAACGGCAGCCACGGAACGAAUAACCUCACACGCGCCCCUCUUGGGCACCGCAUCGCACCGCUUCCCAGUUUCCCAGCGUCCGCGCCGCAAAAGAAGAACACUACUACUACGACCAUCGAUGGCCGUCCGGUGUCACGCUGCUGCUACCUUGGUCUCGUCCCGAGCACACCUGUCCUCCUACCUCCCGCCCCUCCUCCCCUCCGCGCGACCCCGAUCCACGACAACCCGCAGCUGCGGCGGCAGCAGUUACAGGCGGACCGCCGUUCGCGCCAUGGGCGCCGCGCCGUCGUCGCCCUCGCCGUCCGGACAAGCCCCAGGUU